CGCGCAGGCGGUUCUUUAAGUCUGAUGUGAAAGAUCAGGGCUCAACCCUGAGAGUGCAUCGGAAACUGGGCAUCUUGAGGACAGGAGAGGAAAGUGGAAUUCCUAGUGUAGCGGUGAAAUGCGUAGAUAUUAGGAGGAACACCAGUGGCGAAGGCGACUUUCUGGACUGUAACUGACGCUGAGGCGCGAAAGCGUGGGGAGCAAACAGGAUUAGAUACCCCUGUA
rnacentral:rRNA from 1 species